UACGGAGGGUGCAAGCGUUAUCCGGAUUCACUGGGUUUAAAGGGUGCGUAGGCGGGCAGGUAAGUCCGUGGUGAAAUCUCUGAGCUUAACUCAGAAACUGCCAUGGAUACUAUUUGUCUUGAAUGUUGUGGAGGUAAGCGGAAUAUGUCAUGUAGCGGUGAAAUGCUUAGAUAUGACAUAGAACACCGAUUGCGAAGGCAGCUUACUACACGAUCAUUGACGCUGAGGCACGAAAGCGUGGGGAGCAAACAGG
rnacentral:rRNA from 1 species